rnacentral:rRNA from 1 species
CCUAGGCACACAGAGGCGAAGAAGGACGUGGCGACCGACGAAAAGCUCCGGGGAGUUGGAAGCGAGCAGUGAUCCGGAGAUAUCCGAAUGGGGCAACCCUAAAAACAGCCUGUUGAAUAUAUAGACAGGCAUGAGCCAACCCAGCGAACUGAAACAUCUUAGUAGCUGGAGGAAAAGAAAGAAAAAUCGAUUCCCUCAGUAGUGGUGAGCGAAAGGGGAAGAGCCUAAACCAUGUGAUUUAUUGCAUGGGGUAGUGGGACAGCGAUAUGGAAGCCGGAAGCUAGACGAAGCAGUUGGAAUGCUGCACCAGAGGGAGUGAAAGUCCCGUAGUCGAAAGUGUACGGAUACUAGCUGAAUCCCGAGUAGCACGGGGCACGAGGAAUCCCGUGUGAAUCAGCCGAGACCACUCGGUAAGGCUAAAUACUACUGUGUGACCGAUAGUGAACCAGUACCGCGAGGGAAAGGUGAAAAGAACCCCGCAAGGGGAGUGAAAUAGAACAUGAAACCGUAAGCCUACAAGCAGUGGGAGGACGAUUCAACGUCUGACCGCGUGCCUGUUGAAGAAUGAGCCGGCGACUUAUAGGCAGUGGCAGGUUAAGGCACUAUGUGCUGAAGCCAAAGCGAAAGCGAGUCUGAAAAGGGCGAAUAGUCACUGGUUAUAGACCCGAACCCGGGUGAUCUAACCAUGUCCAGGAUGAAGCUUGGGUAAAGCCAAGUGGAGGUCCGCACCGACUGAUGUUGAAAAAUCAGCGGAUGAGGUGUGGUUAGGGGUGAAAUACCAAUCGAACCCGGAGCUAGCUGGUUCUCCCCGAAAUGUGUUGAGGCGCAGCGGUUGUGAUUAUAGCCUGGGGGUAAAGCACUGUUUCGGUGCGGGCUGCUAACGCGGUACCAAAUCGAGACAAACUCAGAAUACCAGGUGCACACACAGCCAGUGAGACGGUGGGGGAUAAGCUUCAUCGUCAAGAGGGAAACAGCCCAGACCACCAGCUAAGGUCCCCAAAUUGUCACUAAGUGAUAAAGGAGGUGGGAGUGCAAAGACAACCAGGAGGUUUGCCUAGAAGCAGCCACCCUUGGAAGAGUGCGUAAUAGCUCACUGGUCAAGCGCUCUCGCGCCGAAAAUGAACGGGGCUAAGUGACGUACCGAAGCUGUGGGAUAUGCAAGUAUCGGUAGGGGAGCGUUCCGCGUUAGGGUGAAGCACUAGCGGCAAGCAGGUGUGGACGAAGCGGAAGUGAGAAUGUCGGCUUGAGUAGCGAAAACAUUGGUGAGAAUCCAAUGCCCCGAAACCCUAAGGGUUCCAGAGCAAGGUUCGUCCGCUCUGGGUUAGUCAGGACCUAAGGCGAGGCCAAACGGCGUAGUCGAUGGACAACGGGUCAACAAUCCCGUACUGAGAUUGAUUUGUGCAGAGGGACGGAGAAGGCAAUCACGAGCCGGAUGUUGGUUACCGGUUCAACUGUCAAGGUGCUGAGGAGCGGAGAAAACGCUCGGAGCCGAGACAGGAGUACGAGGGUCUACGGACCCGAAGUCGUGUAGUCAAGCUUCCAAGAAAAGCUUUAAGCACGUUAAAUCAAUUUUACCUGUACCCGAAACCGACACAGGUAGGGAGGUUGAGUAAACUAAGGGGCGCGAGAUAACUCUCUCUAAGGAACUCGGCAAAAUGGCCCCGUAACUUUGGAAGAAGGGGUGCCCACGAAGGUGGGUCGCAGUGAAGAGAUCCAGGCGACUGUUUACCAAAAACACAGGUCUCCGCGAAGUCAAAUGACGAUGUAUGGGGGCUGACGCCUGCCCAGUGCCGGAAGGUUAAGGAAGUCGGUCAGGGGGAAACCCUAAAGCUGGCGACUGAAGCCCCGGUGAACGGCGGCCGUAACUAUAACGGUCCUAAGGUAGCGAAAUUCCUUGUCGGGUAAGUUCCGACCCGCACGAAAGGCGUAACGAUCUGGAUGGUGUCUCAGAGAGAGACUCGGCGAAAUAGGAAUGUCUGUGAAGAUACGGACUGCCUGCACCUGGACAGAAAGACCCUAUGAAGCUUUACUGUAGCCUGGAAUUGGGUUCGGGCUUCGCUUGCGCAGGAUAGGUGGGAGGCAUUGAUACUGCCCUUGUGGGGGCAGUGGAGCCAACGGUGAGAUACCACUCUGGCGAAGCUAGAAUUCUAACCGGUAGCCGUGAAUCCGGCACUGGAACCGUUUCAGGUGGGCAGUUUGACUGGGGCGGUCGCCUCCUAAAUUGUAACGGAGGCGCGCAAAGGUUCCCUCAGCACGGUUGGAAAUCGUGCACAGAGUGUAAAGGCAAUAAGGGAGCUUGACUGCAAGAGCAACAACUCAAGCAGGGACGAAAGUCGGCCUUAGUGAUCCGACGGCACUGA